rnacentral:rRNA from 1 species
AUUGAACGCUGGCGGCAGGCCUAACACAUGCAAGUCGAGCGGAUGAAGGGAGCUUGCUCCUGGAUUCAGCGGCGGACGGGUGAGUAAUGCCUAGGAAUCUGCCUGGUAGUGGGGGAUAACGUCCGGAAACGGGCGCUAAUACCGCAUACGUCCUGAGGGAGAAAGUGGGGGAUCUUCGGACCUCACGCUAUCAGAUGAGCCUAGGUCGGAUUAGCUAGUUGGUGGGGUAAAGGCCUACCAAGGCGACGAUCCGUAACUGGUCUGAGAGGAUGAUCAGUCACACUGGAACGGAGAAACGGUCCAGCCCCCUAGGGGAGGCAGCGGUGGGGAAUAUGGGAAAAUGGGCGAAAGCCUGAUCCAGCCAGGCCGGGUGGGUGAAGAAGGUUUUCGGAUUGUAAAGCAUUUUAAGUUGGGAGGAAGGGCAGUAAGUUAAAACCUUGCUGUUUUGACGUUACCAACAGAAUAAGCACCGGCUAACUUCGU